ACACCAGAGACUUUUUCAGACCAAAUGACAAAAUGUGGGCACGAUUCAGCAGCUGAUUUUGUUCAGCCAUAACUGAUGCAAGGGGAACGUCUGCUCGUCCACUUAAAUGAUUGUGUGCUCUGGGAGGUUAGGGAUAUGUUUUUGGUAGCAAUCCACGCAUCAUUGGUCUUAUUCAAAAGAUCAUCAUUUUCUCAAAACCAGUGGUGGGGAAACAUAAUCCGCAGCAUUGACAUAAGCGGAAACUGAAAAAUUCCCUCAUUGAGGGAAAAUGUGGAAAUCCAAGGAAACGAGCUUCAGGAAGGCUAAUGCCGUCUUACUUUUGGGAUGUCAGUCAUAUCCGCCCCACUGGCAUGAAAACACACACCGACUGAAUCUCAGACAAUCCCUCGAAGAGAGAGAGAGAGAGAGAGAGAAAGAGAGAGGGAGAAAGAGAAAGAGAGAGAGAGUCUCAAGGUGAUCAAGCAA